rnacentral:rRNA from 1 species
GACGAACGCUGGCGGCGUGCUUAACACAUGCAAGUCGAACGGAAAGGCGCUGCUUUUGUGGGGUUCUCGAGUGGCGAACGGGUGAGUAACACGUGUGUAUCCCGUUCUUGUCUUUGGGUUAACUUCAGGCAACUGGGGCUAAUAUCGGAUAGGAGCUCCUGCUGCAUGUUGUGGGUUGGAUAGUUUCGGUGGUUGGAGAUGUACUGGCGGCUUAUCAGCUUGUUGGUGUGGUAGUGGCUUACCCAGGCUUUGUUGGGUAGCCGGCCUGAGAGGGUGAACAGCCACAUUGGUACUGAGGUAGGGGCCAGACUGCAAAGUGCGGCAGCAGGGGAGAAUAUUGCACAAGGGGGGGAAGUCUGAUGCAACAAUGCUGCGUUCGUGAUGACGGCCUACGGGGUGUAAACCGCUUUCGCCUUUGAUGAAGCCUAAGUGACGGUAAUGGAUAAAGAAGCACCGGCUAACUACGUG